rnacentral:rRNA from 1 species
AAUAGAUACCCGGGUAGUCCACGCCGUAAACGAUGAGUGCUAAGUGUUAGGGGGUUUCCGCCCCUUAGUGCUGCAGCUAACGCAUUAAGCACUCCGCCUGGGGAGUACGGUCGCAAGACUGAAACUCAAAGGAAUUGACGGGGGCCCGCACAAGCGGUGGAGCAUGUGGUUUAAUUCGAAGCAACGCGAAGAACCUUACCAGGUCUUGACAUCCCAUUGACCGCUAUGGAGACAUGGCUUUCCCUUCGGGGACAGUGGUGACAGGUGGUGCAUGGUUGUCGUCAGCUCGUGUCGUGAGAUGUUGGGUUAAGUCCCGCAACGAGCGCAACCCUUGUUCUUAGUUGCCAUCAUUUAGUUGGGCACUCUAAGGAGACUGCCGGUGGCAAACCGGAGGAAGGUGGGGAUGACGUCAAAUCAUCAUGCCCCUUAUGACCUGGGCUACACACGUGCUACAAUGGACGGUACAAACGGUUGCCAACCCGCGAGGGGAGCUAAUCCGAUAAAACCGUUCUCAGUUCGGAUUGUAGGCUGCAACUCGCCUAC